UCCCCUAACNGGAAAAGUGCCCAGAUGCCU
rnacentral:piRNA from 1 species